rnacentral:tRNA from 1 species
GGAGAGAUGGCAGAGUGGUCGAUUGCGCAGCAUUGGAAAUGCUGUGUACCGCAAGGUACCGAGGGUUCGAAUCCCUCUCUCUCCGCCA